rnacentral:misc_RNA from 1 species
GUGAAUCAUCGAAUCUUUGAACGCAAAUUGCACUCCCUGGUAUUCCGGGGAGUAUGCCUGUUUGAGGGUCGUUAGUAGAAAAAUCGAAUGAUCGCUCUUUUUUUUUAGGCUGAUCGCGUCGGAAUUGAGCCGUCUGUCAAAUGUUAAUUCAUGUCAAAGUGGCUUAAAAUUCACCCUUCCGUUACGAUUAAAGCGUAUUUAAGACCACUUUUGAUUCAG